AUCCUCUCAGUGGUGCACCUGGAGAGUUUCCAGUAUUCUACCAGUCACAAUUACAGGAGGGAGAGUCAAGCAGAGGCCUACCCAUUCCAAUACUAGCUUGGGCAGUAGCUAGUAAGCAGGAGACAAUCUGCUACAAGU